GGCCGACGGGCCGCGGCGGAGGCGGCGACCGCGGAGGGCCGACCCGUCGCGGGGCGGCGGGAGGGCCGACGGCACCCCGGCGGCUCGGAAGGUCACACAAUCUCCGCGAUGAAGACGUCACUCUGGCAAAUCCGUUUGACAAGGAAACCCUUCCGUCUCGUCCCCCUUCAGUGCGAGGGGGUGUGCUCGAUCACCCGCCGUUGUCCCAGAGUGUCAAGACUGGAGCGGUUCCUCGACUCUCCUUGAAGACAGCAGAACGGAGAUUCCACUGUGAGCGAGCUCACCGAAGACAGCGGCAUGACUAAUGUCGUGCUUCGUGUAGCAGACUGGCAACCAUUUAGGGACCCGCUGGGACCCAGAACGGGAUUAGCGGUUGAAAAUGGACGGAUAAGAGGCCCAGUCUUUCAUUCGACGCUGUCCAGAUGGGUCACACUGUACACUUUAGCGAGGAAGACACUCGGUGGUAAUUCAACUCAAGACUGCAAUUUUCAAACGAUGAAACAAGUACUUUGUGCCCUGCCCUCGCGUCUUCCUCAACAACUGCAUCCUCGUCAUCCUUUGAACGAUAUCCUCACCUCCGGUGGUGUCCGAACCACCAGAGUCCCUAACUUUGUCUCCACAACAACUAACCUCGUCUGUUCCUCUGUUAAGCUCACUUCUAAUUUUCUUCAACCUGCUCACUCCUAGCGAGAAACCGCAACAUCUUCAUUUCUGCUCCUGUCCUCUCCACGGUCUUUAAUCCGUCCAUCAUGGCCGGCCUCGCCGCCGUUUCACAAACUUUGCCCUUCAUCUGAGCAGAGACUCUUCUGUCACACCUCCCUCCAGCCAUCCCAGCUUGCUUCGACUUGUUUCUUCACUUCCUGAGCACACACCCGCAAUUGCUCUGAACUGUUGACAACAAGUAUUUAAAGUCCUCCGCCCUCGCCAUCGCUUCUCUCUGGAGCCUCCUCCUUCCCUCUCCCCCUCUGCCAAUCAUACACAUAUAUUCAGUUUAAUUUCGACGAGUCUUCCUUUCGCUCCCUGCUUUCGCUCUUCCAUGUGCGAGCGUCGUGGUCCACGGGGACUCCAAUCUAUCCAUCACCAAUGCGAAGGGGAAGGGGCUUAGGGCUGAACCCUGCACCUUAAAUUCUUCGAUCACACCUCCGGCGGCCUUCACGCAUUCGAACACACUUCUCUGCCACUCCACAGUUCCUCCGCGGUUAUGAUGUCGGAAGCUUUCUCUCGAGCCACAAAGACACAACGUAGACCGAUCUGAGCUUCUCUGUACUCCUCUGUCGAUCCCCUCACGGCAAAUCAUGAAUCUGUGGAACUCUUCACCAUUCCUAACCGUUCACAAAUAUUUCUGU